UACGUAGGGGGCUAGCGUUGUCCGGAUUUAUUGGGCGUAAAGAGCGUGUAGGCGGUCCGGUAAGUCCGCUGUGAAAGUCGGGGGCUCAACCCUCGAAUGCCGGUGGAUACUGUCGGGCUAGAGUGCGGAAGAGGCGAGUGGAAUUCCUGGGUGAUAGCGGUGAAAUGACGCAGAUAUCAGGAGGAACACCUAUUGCGAAGGCAGCUCGCUGGGACGUAACUGACGCUGAGACGCGAAAGCGUGGGGAGCAAACAGG
rnacentral:rRNA from 1 species